UGGUUAAUGGGAAGAAGUCAGCAUCUUUGGCUUCUUUUGAGGCAACUGCUGCACUUAGUACUACAGUAUCUCCAUAACGAACUAAAACAGCACCAUUGGCUUGUUUUGCUAAUUGACCGAUUUCAACUGAUAGUGGGUGGCCUCCCCAAGUGGUUGAAAAUACUUGUUUUGUCAUAAUGUUUCCUUUCUUACCGGGGGACUUGCUACUAAACAAAGGGAAACGCACAAAAAUUUGUUCCCUUUCCUUUGGUUAGUAGUAAGACAAAGAAACCCCAGUGAUAAAAAUUUCAAUCAAUUUUAUUCGUGGGCAAAGUUUCCCACUGGAUAGCUUUGUUUACGGA
rfam:Enterococcus cecorum DSM 20682 = ATCC 43198 genomic scaffold adfme-supercont2.1, whole genome shotgun sequence.